AGUCCUACUACAUUUUUGCUUGGAUACAUCUUUUCCGGGCCAUUAAGACACAGUUGUCAAAAGAAUAGAUGAAAAAAGCUUUUAAUGUUUUACUUGUUGAGUGACAGUUCGAAGGACUUCCUCUGUCUCAGUAUCCAGGGUUUACGCUGUAAACCUGUAUUUUAUCUGCACACACUCAACCCCCAAAGCAGUCUGCUAAGGGUGAAACUCAUUUUAGAGAAAACAUAACAGAGUUUUCUGGAUUCUGAUCAUACAUCUUACAUUACUGCAUUAUCUGAUAUGAUCCCCUUCAUUAAUGCAUAUGUUAGUUCUUCUGCACCACCCAGCAGGAGCUGCUCAUUGCCUAUGUUGACUGCCAUGCAACCUUUAGGAAUGUGGUCUAACUACACCACACAUGGAGCAAACCAUAUUGUGCUAUUACUCCCCGUUAUGCUGCACUGAUGUCCAAGCCACUCAACAUACACAAAUCAUGGAGAAACAUGACUGGUGAGGGAUGAAGGACAGUAGAGUUUCUAUGGGUCCAGUAAGAGCAAAAGGAAAACUGAGGAAAAUACAGGCCCACUGCUCAGUGAGGUGAAGGAUGCUGUGGUAGGGGAUAUAGGAAGGACUCAAUGAGGAUUAAUCUUAACAGGCAAGGUCUACUCACAGACCUCCUGGGGGACACGAAAUGAAGUACUACUCAUAGUGGAGGAAGACUGACUCACACUGAGCAAACUGGACAUACACAAGUCCAAGCAAUGAGACAGGAGACAUCUGAGGCUUUAGGUACAAAAGGCAAACAAACCAGACUAAGUCAGGUGGAGAGCUACCAAUGUAGGCAGUGGAUACUGCGUAUUACAUAGGAGAGACUGAGAGUUGUUUUUUUCAACCUGAAGCAGACAGACAAGGCUUAGAGGACGGGAGCAGGAAGGAGAUCUACUGCUUUCUAGAACUGCCUACUGGGAGGUGUAGAAAUGACAGAGCCAAACUGAAAAAAUGGACUCCAGAGUUUUUCCAUCCUACAAGCAUCAGUGAACUGCGAGGAGCAACAGGAUAUAGGAGAAGAAAGUCUAUCAGAGUACACUCGACAUCAUUUGAAUUAGUAUCUGUUACAAUAUGCAAAAAGCAACAAGACUGACCAUAGACAAUCAAUUCUAAUAUGUUCUGCUGAUCAUGCAAAGCAAGAAGUGGUGGGGGGUUAAUUAAGAAUACUUGCUUUGAAUAAUAUGAAGAACUGACCUGACUGUGGGAUUAAUCAGACUACAGAACAAAUGGCCUCCCAAAGGAAGAGGUAGAAUUUACACAGCUUGCAACAUUAUGACAAGACUGAAUGAAACUAAGGAGAAUCCACAGCAAAAUAACCACAUCAUGACUUCAUAAAGUGGUACAGUAGACAUUUAGUAGGUAUACUCCAACUUUAAGUUGUUAAAAAAUUAAAACAGCAUGCUGAAAGAACUGCUUGGUCCUAUAGCCAGAGGUUGGGCAAGAGUAUACAGAAUUUCUGUAACACAAGAACAAACACCAACAGUAACAAAAUAUUGAAGGUGAAGAUUCAUCCGUGGACAAGAGCAUGAUGUCUUGUUCAACCUCUAAUGUACUGGAAGGAAUCACAAAAGCAACACCUAACACCUUCCAACUAGCUGCCAUGUGGAGGUGGGAAACUCCCGGGAAAAAGCCUAAUUAGCCUAUAACUUUUUAUCACAUGCAAACGCAUUCCCUGCCUUGAAAAAUGGUGACAUGUUCUGUAUACUUCUGUGC